GUCUACGGCCAUGCUACUGUGAACAAGCCCGAUCCCGCCUGAUCUUAGAAGCUAAGCAGGGUCAGGCCUGGUUAGUACCUGGAUGGGAGGCCACCUAGGAAGACCAGGUGCUACAGGCA
rnacentral:rRNA from 1 species